AGAUGGACCCGCGGCGCAUUAGCUAGUUGGUGGGGCAACGGCCUACCAAGGCGACGAUGCGUAGCCGACCUGAGAGGGUGAUCGGCCACAUUGGGACUGAGACACGGCCCAGACUCCUACGGGAGGCAGCAGUGGGGAAUAUUGCGCAAUGGGGGCAACCCUGACCGAGCAACGCCGCGUGAGUGAAGAAGGUUUUCGGAUCGUAAAGCUCUGUUGUAAGAGAAGAACGUGUGUGAGAGUGGAAAGUUCACACAGUGACGGUAACUUACCAGAAAGGGACGGCUAACUACGUGCCAGCAGCCGCGGUAAUACGUAGGUCCCGAGCGUUGUCCGGAUUUAUUGGGCGUAAAGCGAGCGCAGGCGGUUUAAUAAGUCUGAAGUUAAAGGCAGUGGCUUAACCAUUGUUCGCUUUGGAAACUGUUAGACUUGAGUGCAGAAGGGGAGAGUGGAAUUCCAUGUGUAGCGGUGAAAUGCGUAGA
rnacentral:rRNA from 1 species